rnacentral:rRNA from 1 species
GACGAACGCUGGCGGCGUGCUUAACACAUGCAAGUCGAACGGAAAGGCCCUGCUUUUGUGGGGUGCUCGAGUGGCUAACGGGUGAGUAACACGUGAGUAACCUGCCCUUGACUUUGGGAUAACGUCAAGAAACUGGGGCUAAUACCUGAUAUUAGCGCCUGCUGCAUGGUGGGGGUUGGAAAGUUUCGGCGGUUGGGGAUGGACUCGCGGCUUAUCAGCUUGUUGGUGGGGUAGUGGCUUACCAAGGCUUUGACGGGUAGCCGGCCUGAGAGGGUGACCGGCGACAUUGGGACUGAGAUACGGCCCAGACGCCUACGGGAGGCAGCAGUGGGGAAUAUUGCACAAUGGGCGGAAGCCUGAUGCAGCAACGCCGCGUGCGGGAUGACGGCCUUCGGGUUGUAAACCGCUUUCGCCUGUGACGAAGCGUGAGUGACGGUAAUGGGUAAAGAAGCACCGGCUAACUACGUG